AGCGAACGCUGGCGGCAGGCUUAACACAUGCAAGUCGAGCGGACCUUUCGGGGUCAGCGGCGGACGGGUGAGUAACGCGUGGGAACGUGCCUUCCGGUUCGGAAUAACCCUGGGAAACUAGGGCUAAUACCGGAUACGCCCUUAUGGGGAAAGGUUUACUGCCGGAAGAUCGGCCCGCGUCUGAUUAGCUAGUUGGUGGGGUAACGGCCUACCAAGGCGACGAUCAGUAGCUGGUCUGAGAGGAUGAUCAGCCACACUGGGACUGAGACACGGCCCAGACUACUACGGGAGGCAGCAGUGGGGAAUAUUGGACAAUGGGCGCAAGCCUGAUCCAGCCAUGCCGCGUGAGUGAUGAAGGCCUUAGGGUUGUAAAGCUCUUUUAUCCGGGACGAUAAUGACGGUACCGGAGGAAUAAGCCCCGGUUAACUUCGUG
rnacentral:rRNA from 1 species